rnacentral:misc_RNA from 1 species
GGUUGGAUCCCUGCCUCGUGCAGCGACGUCCUAGCUUGCUAUCCUCUUCAUUGUUGGCACAAUUUUUAUUGGCCGUCUCUCGAUUUCCUGUGUUUCAUACCUACAUGAUGGAAUUCGGUUGGCAAUCUCUAGCUGUUCGCCUUAGACUGCCCGUUCUCGGUGCGGUCACGGGUGAAACUCGAAACGAGAUUCUUGUCCCCCGAACUGCAUGUUUUGUGUCGGUUUCGUGGUCCAUGAAUUCUCGCUCGGGCGCUGGGACGCAGAAAACAAUAAGGGCACGGAGUCAUCGGCUCCUAUCUGUCCGCAAAAAGGCUUCAAUGCCUAUUUCGAACGACUUCGGUCCCGUCUUGGCCUCGUGCCGUGCGGGUCGAUGUCUGUGAGGAAUGCUAC